rnacentral:lncRNA from 1 species
CUUUUUGCUAUUUCUUGGGCCGCUCCCACGGCAUAUGGAGGUUCCCAGGCUAGGGGUUGAAUCGGAGCUGUAGCCACCAGCCUACGCCAGAGGCACAGCAACGUGGGAUCUGGGCCGCAUCUGCAACCUACACCACAGCUCACAGCAACGUCGGAUAGUUAACCCACUGAGCAAGGGCAAGGACCGAACCCGCAACCUCAUGGUUCCUAGUCGGAUUCGUUAACCACUGUGCCACGACGGGAACUCCCCCACUCUUCUUUUAAAUAUCUAAAAAGGAACUCCCCUACCCUGGGAAUCUCCAUACGCUGUGGGUGUGGCCCUAAAACCUCAAAAGGUAGCUUUCUUUCUAUAGGUCCUCUCUUCUAUUCACAUUUCCUUAAAAAAAAAAUCCCAAACCUUGGUCUUAUAAAAAUUGGCCAUUGGCCUUAGAAUGCUUCUUCUGCCCUGGGGCCAUUACAACCCUCCCAGCAGGACCUGGCCCCUCAGGAAUGGAAGCUAACACUUGGGGCAGUUCGUUCUCUUCAGAGACACUCCAGCCUAUUCUGCUGAUACUGUUGAACUCCACUCAAGAAAUCCAUCCCUUUUAGAGUCCCCGUCAUGGCUCAGUGGUUAACGAAUCCGACUAGGAACCAUGAGGUUGCGGGUUCGAUCCCAGGACUCUCUCAGUGGGUUAAGGAUCCAGUGUUGCUGUGAGCUGUGGUGUAGGUCACAGACGCGGCUCAGAUCCCGUGUUGCUGUGGCUGUGGUGUAGGCCGGCGGCUACAGCUCCGAUUCGACCCCUAGCCUGGGAACCUCCAUAUGCCAUGGGAGCAGCCCAAGAAAUGGCAAAAAGACCAAAAAAAAAAUCUAUCCCUUUUGAGCGAUACAAAUUGCCUUUUUCCUGCUCUAAUAAAUGACAUACAUAUUCUCAAUCCAGUCUGUGCUCCAUUAGGAUAUAUAUAUAUAUAUAUAUAUAGUCUUUUUAGGGCCACACUUGAGGUAUAUGGAGGUUCCCAGGCUAGGGGUUGAAUCGGAGCUGUAGCUGCCAGUCUACACCAUAGCCACAGAAACGCCGGAUCCUUAACCCACUGAGCGAGGCCAGGGAUUGAACCUGAGUUCUCAUGGAUGCUAGUCGGUUUCAUUAACCGCUGAGCCAUGAUGGGAACUCCUCCACUAGGAUAUUUUUAUUAAUUUCGCCUUUCAGGGCCGCUCCCAUGGCUAUAGGAAGUUCCCAGGCUAGGGGUCAAAUCGGAGCUGGAACUAUUGGACUAGGCCACAGCCACAGUAACGCCAGACCUGAGUCGCAUCUGUGACCUACACCACAGCUCACGGCAACGCCGGAUCCUUAACCCACUGAGCAAGGCCAGGGAGCCAACCUGCACCUUCAUGGAUCCUAGUCGGGUUUAUUACCGCUGAGCCAGGAUGGAAACUCCAGAAAAUCAUCUAAAAGAACUUUUAGUCCUCAUAAGAGAGGUGAGGAAGGUGACCAGAAAACAAGACCUAAUACAAAAUAAAAUAACCUUUCUUUGCCGACA